AAUUACCGCCGUAGGGCGUAGAGGUAAUGUAUUCUAUUUUUUAGAAUUUUUACUUCACGCAAUCAGGUUUUGGCUGAAUAUCAACCGCCCCAGAUAGCAUUAAUGAGUGGGGCGCUUUUUG
rnacentral:other from 1 species